CAACAGCCAAGUCCUGGAGCAAGCUUCCUGUAUGGUCAGCUCAUGGGGUGCUCCUGUGUUUAACACCCAAAGAAAAAAUACUGAUCUUCCUGCUGGACAACAGAUGACUGAUUUGAGCAUCUCCAGAUCCGACAGAUGUAUUUGCAGAUCCCAUCACCUCUCUGAGCACUCACUUGUAUGAAUGAAUGAAGAAAAAAAUGGUACUGUGCUCAUUAUUAAAGUAACACUAUUACCCUGA